rnacentral:rRNA from 1 species
UCAACUUGAGAGUUUGAUUCUGGCUCAGAACGAACGCUGGCGGCAGGCCUAACACAUGCAAGUCGAACGAUACAGUGGCAGACGGGUGAGUAACGCGUGGGAACGUACCUUUCACUACGGAAUAGCUCUGGGAAACUGGUGGUAAUACCGUAUACGCCCUCCGGGGGAAAGAUUUAUCGGUGAAAGAUCGGCCCGCGUUGGAUUAGCUAGUUGGUGAGGUAAUGGCUCACAAAGGCGACGAUCCAUAGCUGGUCUGAGAGGAUGAUCAGCCACAUUGGGACUGAGACACGGCCCAAACUCCUACGGGAGGCAGCAGUGGGGAAUCUUGCACAAUGGGCGAAAGCCUGAUGCAGCCAUGCCGCGUGAAUGAUGAAGGCCUUAGGGUUGUAAAAUUCUUUCGUCAGGGAUGAUAAUGACCGUACCUGAAGAAGAAGCCCCGGCUAACUUCGUGCCAGCAGCCGCGGUAAUACGAAGGGGGCUAGCGUUGUUCGGAAUUACUGGGCGUAAAGCGCACGUAGGCGGACUUUUAAGUCAGGUGUGAAAUCCCGGGGCUCAACCUCGGAACUGCAUUUGAAACUGGGAGUCUUGAGACCAGGAGAGGUUAGCGGAAUACCGAGUGUAGAGGUGAAAUUCGUAGAUAUUCGGUGGAACACCAGUGGCGAAGGCGGCUAACUGGACUGGUACUGACGCUGAGGUGCGAAAGUGUGGGGAGCAAACAGGAUUAGAUACCCUGGUAGUCCACACCGUAAACGAUGAGAGCUAGUUGUUGGCAGGCAUGCCUGUCAGUGACGCAGCUAACGCAUUAAGCUCUCCGCCUGGGGAGUACGGCCGCAAGGUUAAAACUCAAAGAAAUUGACGGGGGCCCGCACAAGCGGUGGAGCAUGUGGUUUAAUUCGAAGCAACGCGCAGAACCUUACCA